rnacentral:rRNA from 1 species
GACGUCCUGCCGGUGGCGGUCCGGGCUCUCGGCCCUGUGUAGGUUCCGGCCGAAGCAGGUCGGGAGACUCCGGUCGCCGAUUCAAUCCCGCCGCGGUGCUCUUAACUGAGUGUCGAGGUGGGCCGGCAAAUUUACUUUGAACAAAUUAGAGUGCUUAAAGCAGGCUGAUUUCCGCCUGAAUACUGUGUGCAUGGAAUAAUGGAAUAGGACUUCGGUUCUAUUUUAUUGGUUUUAAGAAACCGAAGUAAUGAUUAAUAGGGACAGGCGGGGGCAUUCGUAUUGCGACGUUAGAGGUGAAAUUCUUGGAUCGUCGCAAGACGUACCUAAGCGAAAGCAUUUGCCAAGUAUGUCCUCGUUAAUCAAGAACGAAAGUUAGAGGUUCGAAGGCGAUCAGAUACCGCCCUAGUUCUAACCAUAAACGAUGCCAGCCAGCGAUCCGCCAAUGUUCCUCCGAUGACUUGGCGGGCAGCUUCCGGGAAACCAAAGCUUUUGGGUUCCGGGGGAAGUAUGGUUGCAAAGCUGAAACUUAAAGGAAUUGACGGAAGGGCACCACCAGGAGUGGAGCCUGCGGCUUAAUUUGACUCAACACGGGAAACCUCACCAGGCCAGGACACUGGAAGGAUUGACAGAUUGAUAGCUCUUUCUUGAUUCAGUGGGUGG